rnacentral:rRNA from 1 species
UGCGGGGGGGGCAAGCGUUGUUCGGAAUUACUGGGCGUAAAGGGCUCGUAGGCGGCCAACUAAGUCAUACGUGAAAUCCCUCGGCUUAACCGGGGAACUGCGUCUGAUACUGGAUGGCUUGAGUUCGGGAGAGGGAUGCGGAAUUCCAGGUGUAGCGGUGAAAUGCGUAGAUAUCUGGAGGAACACCGGUGGCGAAGGCGGCAUCCUGGACCGACACUGACGCUGAGGAGCGAAAGCCAGGGGAGCAAACGGG